rnacentral:lncRNA from 1 species
CCCUCACUCUUACUGGACUUGAACGAAUGAGAACAUCAUCGAGCACCAAAUAAUAAUGAUUUAAAAAUCAUGGGAACAAACAGUGAUAAAAAUGAUACUAUUUGUGGAGGAUCUGUGGGUCUGUUUUUUUUACAAGGAGUAUUUCAUUUGAUUCUCAUCUGAUUUUCUGGGCCUUCCUGGGAUCACCUCCAAACAACUACUUGCAUUUGAAUCCUUGCCUCAAGUCUGCUUCCAGAGAACACCAUCUGAGAGAUCUGCAGGGGAAGUGUGGUUGCCCAGAGAGGAGGAGGAAAGUGGCUGCUGCCAUUCAGGAGUGGUGGCCGUGUUAACAGAUGAGGGGAGAGAGGAUGCAGUGGGUGACACUAAUGAAAUCUUAGCCUCAGUCUUUGGCUCAGCUGCUGAAUUUGGAAAAAUUCAAACAUUUAUAAAAGAAAACAGAAUGGUAUUGUGGACUCCACAGACUUGUCACCCAGCUUCAACAAUGAUCAGCUCAGCGUCAAUCUUGGGUGUCUACUUUUCCCAACCUCCAUCCCUGUCAAUGGAGACACCAUACCAUUGCCUCUGUAAAUAUACUGGUAUGUAUCACAUCAUUAAAAGAUAAGCACUCCUUUAUAAAAUAUAAUCACAAAAAUAUCAUAAAUAUAUGUGUCCAAACCUGAAGGAAGUGCAAAACCCAGAGUGAACCAUGGACUUUGAGUGAUAAUGAAAUUUCCAUGUGGCUUCAUCAGUUGUGACAAAUGUACCACUCUGAUGGGGGUUGUUGGUGAUGGGGGACAGUGUGUAGGGGGGAAGGAGAUACACAGUCAAUCUAUGUUCAAUUUUGCUAUAAUCCUAAAACUAUUCUAAAAAGUCUUUACAAAUAGGACAUAACCACAAUACUGUUAUUAAACUCAACAAUAGUUCCUUGGUACUAUUUGUUUACUGUUGUCUCUCUCCCCGAGAGUGCUUUCUGAAUCAUUUGGGUCUGUAUCUUGGUGCCCAGCCCAGCACCAGAGACCUGCUGGGUCCUCGGGAACUUUGUGCUGCCUGGACAGCCCUUUGGAUGAACAAGUUGCUGACAGCCCACUUUGCUCUCUGCAGAUACUGCCUGUGUUAGCCAGCUUUUCGUUGCUGUGACAAAGACCUUAGAUAAACAGUUUAAGGAGGAAAGGUUUAUUUUGGCUCACGGUUUCAGAGGUUUCAGUCCAUGGUCAGCUGGUUUUGGUGUGCUAGGCCUGUGAGGCACAACAUCAUGGCAGAAGGGUGUGGCAGGAGAGAGCUGUUCACCUCAUGGCUGCCAAGAAGCAGAGUAAGAAGGAAAGAGCCAGAGAUGAAGGGGCUGGGGACAAAAUAUGCCCUCCCAAGCUACACUCUCAGUGAGCUGCUUCAUCUGGGUAGGCCCCACCUCCUCAUACACCCAUUCAGC